AAUUACACAGCACUUAUCUGACUGCUGCGUGUACACUAUUAAAAACCUCAAGGCAGCAAAAUGCAGUUUGAAGGCGUUGAAGACCUCUCGAGGUUGUGUAACGUAUGGCAGUGUGGGAGGAGUCUCAGUGCGGUUAUAAAUCGCGGAUGAAGCCUUCGAUCAGUCCAUUUCCUCCUCCUCUUUGGCUCUGUCUGGUGCAAAAUGAAGACUCUCCAUAAAAGCCAGGUGGCUGGUUGAAUUUCUUCUGAAUGUCGGAUAAAAACACUCCAGGGACCUCACGGAAGGAGGACUACAUCCUCGUAUUCCACUUAAAGAUGACUGCCAUCAGAUUGGAAACAUCAUAUGAUCUGACUCUUAAGGUUGGACAGAACCUCUAUCACAUGGCUCUAAAAAGCUGGAAGUCGACCCCACAGAUGAAGGGAUGCUGAUGGUGCAUAAUGGAUUUGAAAGCGCUACGAAAUGGAAAAAGUUCAUUUCAGUUUUGAGAUGCUAAAGUGGCGGUGGCUGUAGCGGGGAGAGUUGAUUGCUGUUUUGAGAUGCUAAAGUGGCGGUGGCUGUAGCGGGGAGAGUUGAUUGCUGUUUUGAGAUGCUAAAGUGGCGGUGGCUGUAGCGGAGAGAGUUGAUUGCGGUUUUGAGAUUCUAAAAUGGUGGUGGCUGUAGCAGACUGAAGAUGUGACAUUUUAAGAAGCUGUUUACUCUAACCUGGAGCAGGUGAGUCAAAGCUCACUUGAUAAAGUAGUUUCCUUGGUGAUGAGAUCUGCACAUGUCUUACGCCUUGUGUGAAUGCCAGACCUGCAAAGGUGAACCCACUGGUGUUGCCAGGGCAACAAGGGGACAACUUGUUGGGGUUUCCAACUGUCUGAAAGGAAACUGCUGUAACAUAAUUUUCUAUCUGGAGCUGCAACUAAUGAGAUGUUUGCAGGUUGAUGGCCGCCAUGCUGUUGGCUUCAGCUGUGAGUUGAGGUGUGUAUGAUGUCCAUAGUUGCUGUCAUGUUCUUUUGUGGAAGUGAUUUUCUUUUACCGCCCCAGUCUGAAGAUUCAUGACUGAUUGGACGGUGCAGGUGAAACUCCAAUCUGCCCAUCUUGUUCACCAGGUGUGUAUGAUGUCCAUAGUUGCUGUCAUGUUGUUUUGUGGAAGUGAUUAUUUCUUAUACCGCCCCAGUCUGAAAAUUCAUGACUGACUGGUAACAUUACUGAUCCACAUCAAUUUAGCAAACUGUCAAUCACUGAGUUAACUUAAAAUAAUGGGAGUUGUGUCACUAUAGGUUGGUGUACAGUAUGUUGCAGAUUAAACGCCAUCAGCCCAGCUUGUUCAGCAGGUGUGUAUGAUUCAGUGCUUUACUUUCUGUAGGAGUAGAAAUGAUGACUUUCCAAGAAGGAACAUCGUCACUCCUUCCAAGAAGGAACACCGUUUCUCCAUUUGACCCAGUCAUGGCACUGAGAACCCUGUAUGCAGGUGUAAGGUGACCCGCUGGUGUUCUGUGGAGAAAUAGGUAGCCUAAUGACUGAUGUCUCACAUUCUGAUCAAUUGCCAGUUAUUUGCAGCAUAAGCUCUUGCUUUUGCGAGGAAUUAAACUACAUAACAUGUUUUUCUUUAGGGAUGUCUGACUUGCUGCGCCUAGCAGUCUUUAUUUGGUAAGUAGAUAUUGUAUGUUGCCAUGUAUUGGCUUGCGCUUUAUUUUACUGCCCUAGUCUGAGUUAUUAAUGACUAGUAAUCUGUUCGCAGAUGAGCAUUUUAAACUAGGGGUGCCAAAACUUUUUUACUGGGGGCUACAUUGGGCUUAAGGAAAAAUUUGGCCAAGUCUCAAAAGCUGACAGCAUGCAAAGUAACUGUACCUGAUUCAUUAUAAUUGGUUAUUAAAUAACUCUUCCCCCCCUGUUUACUUCUGUGAAGACCUUUCAAUUUUUGUGUUUUUUUUUUUUUACUUGCAAUGUUUAGCUCUUGCUUUUGGCAGGAAUUAAACUGUUUUUCCUUUAGGGUUGUCUGACUUGUCACUGGCAUAUUUCAAAUUGUAACUUCACUGACAUUCUAUUGACUGCUCCCAUUUGUUUUGCAGAUGUGACAUUGACCAGGCCAGAAGUUGUAACUAAAUAUGGAAUGUUUUUAAAAUAAAAACCAAGAAAAUGUC